CCUACGGGAGGCUGCAGUGGGGAAUAUUGCACAAUGGGGGAAACCCUGAUGCAGCGACGCCGCGUGAGUGAAGAAGUAAUUCGUUACGUAAAGCUCUAUCAGCAGGGAAGAAAUACUGACCUUACGGUCAGCAGACGGUACCUGAUUAAGAAGCCACGGCUAACUACGUGCCAGCAGCCGCGGUAAUACGUAGGGGGCAAGCGUUAUCCGGAUUUACUGGGUGUAAAGGGAGCGUAGACGGUGCGCCAAGUCUGGAGUGAAAUGCCGCGGCUUAACUGCGGAACUGCUUUGGAAACUGGCGAACUAGAGUGCGGGAGGGGUAAGCGGAAUUCCUAGUGUAGCGGUGAAAUGCGUAGAUAUUAGGAGGAACACCGGUGGCGAAGGCGGCUUACUGGACCGUAACUGACGUUGAGGCUCGAAAGCGUGGGGAGCAAACAGGAUUAGAUACCCGGGUAGUC
rnacentral:rRNA from 1 species